rnacentral:rRNA from 1 species
UACGUAGGGUGCAAGCGUUAAUCGGAAUUACUGGGCGUAAAGCGUGCGUAGACGGUUAUUUAAGUCAGGUGUGAAAGCCCAGGGCUCAACCUUGGAAUUGCAUUUGAGACUGAAUAGCUAGGGUGCGGAAGAGGGAAGCGGAAUUUCCGGUGUAGCGGUGAAAUGACGUAGAUAUCGGAAGGAACACCAGUGGCGAAAGCGGCUUCCUGGUCCAGCACCGACGUUCAGGCACGAAAGCGUGGGGAGCAAACAGG